GAUGAACGCUAGCGGCAGGCCUAAUACAUGCAAGACGAACGGUAAGUUGAGUAGCAAUACUUAGCCAAGAGUGUCGUACGGGUGCGUAACACGUAUGCAACCUACCCUAUACAGGAGGAUAGCCUAGGGAAACCUGGAUUAACCCUUCAUAGUAUUAUUGGAUGGCAUCAUUUGAUAAUUAAAACUGAGGUGGUAUAGGAUGGGCAUGCGUCUGAUUAGUUAGUUGGCGGGGUAAUGGCCCACCAAGACGAUGAUCAGUAGGGGUUCUGAGAGGAAGAUCCCCCACACUGGCACUGAGAUACGGGCCAGACUCCUACGGGAGCAGCAGUAGGGAAUAUUGGUCAAUGGAUGCAAGUCUGAACCAGCCAUGCCGCGUGCAGGAAGAAGGCCUUCUGGGUUGUAAACUGCUUUUGCCAGGGGAUAAAUUUCCAUGCGUGGAAACUGAAGGUACCUGGUGAAUAAGCCACGGCUAACUACGUGCCAGCAGCCGCGGUAAU
rnacentral:rRNA from 1 species